rnacentral:rRNA from 1 species
GAGUGAAGAGGGAAGAGCUCAUCAUUGGAAUCUGGCAGUGUUUCACUGUCCGAGUUGUAGAUGAGGAGUAGUCCGUCUGGACUGCAUGGCGUCCAAGUACAAUAGGCCGUCAGUGGGACAUCAUAGAGGGUGACAAUCCCGUCCUUGACGCCAAUGUGCAAGUCUAUUACGAUGGCUAUCUCAGAGAGUCGAGCAGUUUGGGAUUUGCUGCUUAAACAUGGGAGGUAGAUUCCUUCUAAAGCUAAAUACAGGCGAGAGACCGAUAGAGAACAAGUACCGCAAGGGAAAGAUGAAAUAGCACUCUGUGAAGGGAGUCAAAAGGCGUGAAAUUGUUGCGAGAGAAGCGAUUCAAGUCAGCGUAGCUAGGCCCAUCAAGCGUCUUCGCUUUGGACUAGCUUUGCCAGCGGUCUUGUCCCUUAAAGAGACUUGACUUGUAAUAUGUCCAGCCUGGCGUGCACAGGCAGCCCCUUCUGGGGGCCAGUGACAUGGCUGGUGGAAUGGCUUGCAAUCGACCCGUCUUGAAACACGGACCAAGGAGUCUAACAUGUAUGCGAGUAUAAGGGUGGCAAACCCGUAUGCGCAAUGAAAGUGAUUUUCGGUGAUUGAGAAUGGCCUGAUGACCAGACAAGCAAUAUAUGUCCCUCGUACGGCCAUUGCCCAAGUUCCGUGGUAGAUCCCACGAACAUGGAGUUGGAGCAUACAUGCUAGGACCCGAAAGAUGGUGAACUAUGCCUGGACAAAGCGAAGCCAAAGGAAACUCUGGUGGAGGCUUGUAGGGAUUCUGACGUGCAAAUCGAUCGUCUGAUC